UAGUUGGAUGAAUAUUUAAGGCGUGUGGUUCAGUUAGACUGUUAUUUGAACAGUGGUUGCCGAAUAAGAGGCGAGGCUUAGAUAUAACACACUUCGUAAAAGCAAUGGAUAAGUUGCUAUUAUUCUGUGUUAUAUCAAUUGUAUAUACAAUCGAUAGAGCAUCCAGUGCUAGCUGUAAUGUAUGUAAAAAGGGUUUACCUAGAGUGGAUUGUGUAGUUGAAUAUAUACCACCAUAUCCUAUAGAUGACAGUGUCUGUAUCAAGAUACGACAAAGUAAAGUUGAAGAGAAAAAAUUAUUUGAUGCACACGGUGGAAGUUACCAGAUUUCAUGUGAACUGGAAGAUCUAAGCGAAAUUACAUGUUCGUCAACUCGUUUAACGUCCAGUAGACGUAGUGGUAGUCGUGGUGGUAGUCCUAGAUAUCAAGGUUCUAUAUUAGUAUUAAUUGUGGGAUUAUCGACUGUGUUCUGGUUUGCGGAUUCAUAACAUUUAUUGUUACAAUAAUUUGUUUUAUAUUCUUGUUGAAUUGUUAAGAGAUAUGUGCUUAAAUCAGCUUUAAAACCCAGGUUUAAAAUCUCAUGUAGACGGGAUCAGACACACUUGCAUUAAUCAAACUUUUGGCUAAAUCUGAGAUUGUGAUAUUUAAGAUGAUAGAACGGGAAUAAAUUAUUAACCAGUUAAAUACUAAAUGUACUAGAUUUAUAGCAACCCUUUGUCUGGGCAUGAAUUGCAAUAUUAUAUUUAUAACAUUAAGGUAUCUUGUAUUUAGUAUUUAGACCGUAUAAUGGAAGACUCAGUGGAAUAAAAUGUAUCUUUUUAUUUUAUUGAAAUUAGAAUGACUUUUUAAUAUCAUUGUACGUAAUGUUUAAAAGUGGCCAAAAGAUAAUCAGGGAGAUAUAUGCGUAUAUAUAAUAUAUUAACCUCGAAUUUUUGAAUGCUGAUUCUGACUAAACAGAGUUUAUCUAUGAGUAUACAUAAAGGUCACAAUUUUAUGGAAUACAAUUACUACUUAAAACAGGCGCCUGGUCGAAAAGUCGCUCAGUAAUUAAACAGUACGUGUAAUUGUAUUCCAUAUAAUUGUGACCUGUAUAUUCCAUUUCAAUUACUAAUUGCCAUUGAAACAAUUUAUCUAUGAGGAAUUAGUUUAAAUCACACUUAAUUAAACAUUUAUUAGUUUUAAGCAGCGUUCGUGAAUACCACCAUUGAUAAUUAUACACACAGAUUGUGUUCAUAAUUCAGUUUAAUCUGGGAGGGAGAAUUCGUUUCUACUCCCAGGGUUAAUCUGUAAGAUAUUAGUUCAGGGGAGACAACUGCUUUUAUAGAUAGACUAUUUUAUUUAAACUAUAAAACGGGAUACAGAAACAAGCCACUGGCUUAUAUAAAUCAGCUUCCUAAAGAUAUUUUUGUAUAUAAAUAUAGUUUACAGGAAAUAACGUGCCUUAUUAUACAUCACUAUUUAGAAAAAUUUUGUCUUUUUGUUAAAAUUUUACAAAAUUGUUUUUAUACUUCUGUUUAAUCGGUGUGGUCCUGUUGUUUAGGUUUUAGGCCUUAAAGUUUUCCCGGACACCCAUCGAAUCGCAAGAGGAGUAUUCGUGAUUAAUCCGAUUUCAGCCUCUCUAUCAGUUUUAAAAUGCUAUGGUAAAGCUUGGUCGGUAUUGGUGAAACACGAUUGGUUGUAAUUUGAAUUUAUUUUAAUCUUUUUCAGGCCAUUAGAUGGCUUCAACCCAUUUUCUGGGUUAAAUGGUCGCAUAUGAUGAUCAAGUGGGUAUUUCCAAAGAUUGUAUCAAAUCCAAUUAGACUGGACAGCGAGCAUCAUACUUUAACUUUUAUACAUUUUGGUUAUUAUUCAGUUUACUGUGCAUAUACGUAUUUAUUUUAUUAAAUAUAAAUACUGGGACAUAUCAUCUAUACAAUACCUGAACAAACAUAAUAGCUUAUACUACUGUGUGCAUACCUCAUAAUUUGACAUGGGUUACGGUACUAUAAAAAUGAAUGGAUUAGCUCAUUAGGAUAUAAAUAAAGCUAUGACCAUUAAAUACAUAAAACCACUGUUUUCCCAUUAUAAUUUAUUUCAGGCAAACUCUAAAGUAGUAACUAAAUAAAGACACCCAAUCUAACUUUUGUUACUUAAUCUUAGUGAUUUUUUCUGGGUUAGGCAAGAAAUCCGAGGAAUGCCGAUUGAUCAUUAUAGCGGAUCGUUACAAGGGUGUCAUAGCACCAUAUUUCUAGUCAAUAUAAUGCGUAGGGAAUUAUUUAUGCUUAACAGAUUAGUGACCAUUUUAUUAAAUACAUUUAUAUAGAAUGUUGUUUGAUAUGAUAAUGAAUGGAUAAUAUUUUAAAUAAUUAUGAAAUCUCUGACUGUGUGUACGUAAUCAUAAUUAAAUGCUAUUAACAGAUAAUUGUAGUAGAGCAUAACGCAUGGAAAAGAACUACUAAUAUAUUUGGACUUGCCGGUACUAAUAUAUUUGGGCGACCUUUGGCUUGAAGAGAGAAUACUCACACAGAGAAAAUUUACUCUGUGAUAUUCAUCAAAACGUCGCCAAAUAUAUUAUUAGCUGUUUUCCACAAGUAUGUGAUGCAGUUUAUUUCUCUAUCCAGCCUUGUUAAGCAGUAUAACAAAAUUAGUAGCAUUUUAAGUUUUUAAUUAUAUAGGGGCUUGGCUUUGUAUAGUACAUAUUUAGCUUUACAAUUUCCUCUUGUACUCAAUCUUACAAAAUCUAACAAUAUUAUUUAGCAUCCCUGAUAAGUCAGAAUAAAUUUAGUAAGGUAUAAAAAUACAAAUUCGAUUAUAUUUGAUAAUCAUUCUGACAAAUGUAUCCGAUUCUCUGCAUUGAAGACUGAACUGCCAGCAGUGAAUAUUCGCUUGGCCACUAAAACCAUUUACAAGAAUGACACCGGGGCGAGUCAGUUAGCCCUUAAUAUUAACAUUUUUUUCCUUCUUCAAAUUAAAUUCUUAAGAAGAAAAAAAUGUUUCGGAACCUACUAGCACUGGUAACAACAACCACAUAGAUAAUCUUUAUUUAAUAAAUGGUGCUUAUAAGUUUUUAUUCUGUGAUUACACAUUUUUUUACAAGAAACAAAAACCCACAGAACUAGUAAACAGAAAAAUGCAUUCAUUCCAGAGCUUUUUAAAAUUAUGCUAAGAUACAAAUAUUUCUUACUGAUAUACGUAAUAUUAUACCAUAUAUACACAUCUUAUAUCCCAUGAUAGUAUAUACUGCUAUACCACAUAUAUCAUGAUAUAUUCUUUUAUACCCCAUAUAUCAUGAUAUAUCACAUUUUAUACCACGAAAUGUCAAGUUUUCAAUGAUAUAUCCUGUUAUACCACAUUUUAUAUCAUACAUAGAUCAUGUUAUACCAUAACAUAUUACAUGUUAUACCACAUGAUAUACCGGAUGUUAUACCUUGAUAAAACCGUUUAUAACAUGUUAACACAAUUUAUAACAUAAUGUAUUUAGAUGUUAUACCCCAGGUUAUACUUACAUGUACCAUGAUAAUAUUAUGAUUGUAAAUACUAAACAAUUUUUAUUUGUAUAUACAUGUAAUGUGUUCACCAAGAGAAAUAUCCACCAAAUUUAUUUUUAUAAAAAUCUUUAAUAAACAAAAAUUUUAAUAGUGGAA